rnacentral:rRNA from 1 species
AACGAACGCUGGCGGCAUGCCUAACACAUGCAAGUCGAACGAGACCUUCGGGUCUAGUGGCGCACGGGUGCGUAACGCGUGGGAACCUGCCCUUAGGUUCGGAAUAACUCCCCGAAAGGGGUGCUAAUACCGGAUAAUGUCUUCGGACCAAAGAUUUAUCGCCUUUGGAUGGGCCCGCGUUGGAUUAGCUAGUUGGUAGGGUAAAAGCCUACCAAGGCGACGAUCCAUAGCUGGUCUGAGAGGAUGAUCAGCCAUACUGGGACUGAGACACGGCCCAGACUCCUACGGGAGGCAGCAGUGGGGAAUAUUGGACAAUGGGCGAAAGCCUGAUCCAGCAAUGCCGCGUGAGUGAUGAAGGCCUUAGGGUUGUAAAGCUCUUUUACCCGGGAUGAUAAUGACAGUACCGGGAGAAUAAGCGCCGGCUAACUCCGUG